AGGAAAGUAGGGGAUCGCCAGACCUUGCGCUUUUGGAGCGGCCGAUGUCUGAUUAGCUAGUUGGUGAGGUAAAGGCUUACCAAGGCUUCGAUCAGUAGCUGGUCUGAGAGGACGACCAGCCACACUGGGACUGAGACACGGCCCAGACUCCUACGGGAGGCAGCAGUGGGGAAUUUUGGACAAUGGGGGCAACCCUGAUCCAGCCAUGCCGCGUGAGUGAAGAAGGCCUUCGGGUUGUAAAGCUCUUUCAGCCGGAACGAAAAGGUUACGGUUAAUACCCGUGACUAAUGACGGUACCGGAAGAAGAAGCACCGGCUAACUACGUGCCAGCAGCCGCGGUAAUACGUAGGGUGCGAGCGUUAAUCGGAAUUACUGGGCGUAAAGCGUGCGCAGGCGGUUUUGUAAGUCAGAUGUGAAAUCCCCGGGCUUAACCUGGGAACUGCGUUUGAAACUACAAAGCU
rnacentral:rRNA from 1 species